ANUGNNNAUGGNAGAACCCUGANCGCAAUUCUGCGUGUGUGAAGAAGGCUUUAGGACUGUAAAACUCUUUUAGUAGGGAAGAAAAAAAUGACGGUACCUACACAAGAAGCAACGGCUAAAUACUUGCCAGCGGCCGCGGUAAUACA
rnacentral:rRNA from 1 species